UACGUAGGGUGCAAGCGUUAAUCGGAAUUACUGGGCGUAAAGCGUGCGCAGGCGGCUUUGCAAGACAGAUGUGAAAUCCCCGGGCUCAACCUGGGAACUGCAUUUGUGACUGCAAGGCUAGAGUACGGUAGAGGGGGAUGGAAUUCCGCGUGUAGCAGUGAAAUGCGUAGAUAUGACAUAGAACACCCAUUGCGAAGGCAGCUAACUACGCGAUCAUUGACGCUGAUGCACGAAAGCGUGGGGAGCAAACAGG
rnacentral:rRNA from 1 species